UACGUAGGUGGCAAGCGUUGUCCGGAAUUACUGGGUGUAAAGCGCGUGUAGGCGGCAGACCAAGUCGGCGGUGAAAGCGCCCGGCUCAACUGGGCGAGGUCCGUGGAAACUGGUCAGCUGGAGGACGGUAGAGGCGAGUGGAAUUCCCGGUGUAGUGGUGAAAUGCGUAGAGAUCGGGAGGAAGGCCGGUGGCGAAGGCGGCGCUCUGGAACAUUUCUGACGCUGAGGCUCGAAAGCGUGGGGAGCAAACAGG
rnacentral:rRNA from 1 species